GACGAACGCUGGCGGCGCGCUUAACACAUGCAAGUCGAACGGAAAGGCCUGCUUUCCCUUGUGGAUUGCGGGUACUCGAGUGGCGAACGGGUGAGUAACACGUGAGUGAUCUGCCCCCAACUUGGGUAUAAGCCUGGGAAACUGGGUCUAAUUCCCGAUAGGACUGCAGGGUGGUGCCUGUGGUGGAAAACGAUUUUCUAGUGGUUGGGGAUGAGCUCGCGGCCUAUCAGCUUGUUGGUGGGGUAAUGGCCUACCAAGGCGGCGACGGGUAGCCGGCCUGAGAGGGUGGACGGCCACAUUGGGACUGAGAUACGGCCCAGACUCCUACGGGAGGCAGCAGUGGGGAAUAUUGCACAAUGGGCGGAAGCCUGAUGCAGCGACGCCGCGUGGGGGAUGACGGCCUUCGGAUUGUAAACUCCUUUCGACCGCGAGGAAGCCACCUGGUUGGAAGGGUGGUGACGGUAGUGGUAGAGGAAGCACCGGCUAACUACGUG
rnacentral:rRNA from 1 species